GAUCCUUAAAAUAAAUACCAAGGUAAAAUCCCUUCUUCCCUUCUAACCGUGUAUGCCUCUUGAUUUUAAGACCAGGAUAAGGCAUCAGUUGCUGGCAACCACGAAGAGACACUAAAGACCUUGAGACUCACAGUCUUGGGUUGAAACACAUCUUGCUUUGCCUCUCUCUCUGCCAGCAAACUACAGAGGGGCUGGCCUAAGAUCCGACAAAAAUGAAAUGUUUCGCAGAUCUUGCUAGAUCACCGUCCACAGGUGAAAGGUGUAAUUUCAAUGCCAUUUACAGAUUUAUUUGCUAAUUUUGUGCUGGAAACGACUGACUGUUGCAUGGAUUGUUCCCAUGCAUAAAUCUGAGGUGCAAAUGGGGCUACAUUUGUAUCAAGAACUGCAAGUGCUUCUACUGUGAAGGGCUGCUGCCAGUUUUAGACCUGUGGAAUAAGUCCUACAGAGCCGGCUGCUGUUGACUUUCAAGAAGGCAAGGACACUGUUUUCAUUCCUUUUCCAUUCAUUUUCAUAUCUUCUCCUUAUCCUGAAUUUUAUUUUAUCCCUGACACAGAACUGUGUUGCCAAGGUUCUGGAGAUGCAAGGGAUUUGGAAGGAGGAACCUUUCAACACAUCCUCAAGUAAGUUAGGUGCAAUUCUUUAUGCCCACCACUCAAGGUGAUCUGGCCACAAAGAGUGUGUCCUUGAAGAGGGCUUACAAGAUGGUACUGGUUGAGUAUCCCAAGAAGGUAAGUUCACAGCUGUGGAAGGAGAAUUUGGUCUGAGCACAUAUUUUAACAGUGUUUCUGCUUAACUUUUCUGGUUACACAAAUGUAGCAUGGACAGCUGAGGGUGUGCACAGGUUCCACUGUCAGUUUCUUUACGUUUGAGGAGAGCUGCGAGUGUCCAGGUGCUGACAUUCAAGGAGUAGCAACAACAUUGCAGUCACAGCUGGGACUCACCUAUUGCAGCUGGUGAGCACAGUCUUCAAGAACACCCAAACAUCCAAACCAGUUGUUUCAAAUCUGCACAGCUGUAUUAACUAGGCUUUGCUUCACAGGGACUGCAGUAAUAUUUCAGAUACCAUUUGAAUAGGGAUUUUUGUUAUUCCAGAACAAUAAAAAAAUAUUAAAAUGUC